rnacentral:rRNA from 1 species
UACGUAGGGGGCAAGCGUUAUCCGGAUUUACUGGGUGUAAAGGGGGCGCAGACGGCAGCGCAAGCCAGGAGUGAAAGCCCGGGGCCCAACCCCGGGACUGCUCUUGGAACUGCGCGGCUGGAGUGCAGGAGGGGCAGGCGGAAUUCCUGGUGUGGCGGUGAAAUGCGUAGAUAUCAGGAGGAACACCGGUGGCGAAGGCGGCCUGCUGGACUGCGACUGACGUUGAGGCCCGAAAGCGUGGGGAGCAAACAGG